AUAAAAUUCAUAGAUUCAUUAUGAUUUCACAGAGAAUCAUAAUUGUGGUAAAGAUUUAUCAAGUAAUUAUGGGUAAGUCUAGUAUUGUUUAUUUAAUGCAAUGCUUGAGUUACCAGAAUAAGUAUUAAUUUUCAAUUCAAACAUUUUUCAUGUAGCUUGUUUUCCAAAGUGAAAUAUGAGUGGUGCUACUUUAAAUGAAUAGGGACAGAAAUACUAAGUUUUAGAUGCAGGAUUACUUGAUGUCCAUUACUUUAUAAACGACAACAGCCCUAGAAAGUACUCUUGUCCACAUGGUACACACAAGGAAAUUGAGAGUCAAAGCGCUUAAGACACUUGGCCAAUCUCACAUGAACAGUAGACAGACAAAUUGAAAGAAACCAUCAUCCCUGCUCGGAGUCCUUAUAAUAGCCUCCUAACUGGUCUCCCCUCUCCACUCUGUCUCACCUCUGCCACUUUGUUCUCCAUCCAGCACUGAGCUUGCUAUUAAAAACUUGUCAUGUUGUGCUGAGAGAGUUGACUGUUGGGAGACAAUUCCACGGAUCACUUUUGUUUCUGCAAAGAUUGGGCCUUCUGAGCAAAGACAUGUUUAAAUAGUAGACAGCUUUGGAAGCUAGAGGUGGUGUAUCCCUGUACAGAAAUUUUAAGAACCUACCACCACAGAGACAUCCACGGUAGUAAAGAUAAAGCUCUCUUCUUUUCCUCCCGGAGAUACCCGCUUACAUUCCAGGGUAGUAAGUCAUCUCUCUUCAGAGAGGAGGAAAGGCAAAAAAGCAAACAUAGCAGCGCUAUAAAAGCUCACAGUCACCUAACUGUGUGGUUCCUCUGCCAUGAUGCCCCGUUAGAUCCCACCACCCAUACAAGUUAUGUGAGGUCCUCACUACACUCCUUGCAGAGCUUGGGGCAUAGGAAACGGCAAGAUGUUUCUGCAGCUGCUGACUUUGCUGUGAGUAAUUAACGGUGCACGUCUUUGGUCAGCAUACAUGUAAAACAUCGUGGCAGGUGAGUAGGGUCAAAGUUCAGAUCCUUCACAGUUCCUGACUCAACACUCUCUUCUCUGCUUAAGCCUCCCACGGCCUUCCUACCCCAUUCAAAGUAAAUAUGGAAGCCUUAUGGCUCCCCCUUCCCCCUUCACUGCACACUCACACACAUUAGCUCUUUUACUUUCUCUUCUACGUGCUUGCUUUGCUCCAGCAACACUAGUUUCUUUGCUAACCCUUAAACCUAACAGGCAGCCGCUUGCCUUGAGAGUGCAUUUGCUGUUCCCUCUGCCUGAGCUUCUCCCCCGUGUAUGUGCAGGGCUCCCUUUCGCCAUUCCGACCUUUGUCUGAGCAUCAUGUUCACAACAAGUCUCUUCUGUGGCCAACUUUCACAACUGCAGCCACUCUCUCAAUGCCCUUAGACUCCCACUGCUUUACUUUUACUCAACUUCACUUAUUACAUCUUUUACCUAUUAUCUCAUUUUUGUCCACUUCCCCUAUCAGAAUGACAACUCCAUAAAGACAAGACUUUUGUCUCAUUAUUUAUUGCUGUGUGCAUCAUCUAAAAUAAUAACUGGCUCAUAGCAGGGACUCAAGAAAUAUUUGUCAAAUGAAUGAAUACAUGUAUAACUCUGAAUCUACAUUGUUUUCACUUCUACACUAUCUCUAAUUCUUUAUUAAUAUCCUUUAAUGGAAGAAAACUAACAAUGUUUGGAGUGACAGCUACUUUAGAUUUACCAUUGAGAAAAGAAAAUCAUGAGUUGAAAAAUGAAAUAAUACUAGCAAAUAUAAUGAAGAAGAACUAAAAAUAAAGUGCAAUCCUUGAAAAAUUGCUAAUUUCAGAAACAACUCAAAACCCAUCCACAAGCACACUUGUUCUGGGCAGAUAAGAUGCUUUUAACCAUCUUCAUCUAGGAAUUCCAUCUUCUUGGGAUCAACACACCUUUUUUUGCUAGACUAUCAGGCAGCAAUAUUGAGUUCCAACAUAUGAUUCUUAGUACUUCACUCCAAGCCAAGCUAAUCAAGUAGCCUCAGUAGAUGGCUGAAAAAUUUGCUUUAUUCACAUUUUCUGGGCUGUGUCCAGAAACCCUUUUGUGUGUGCCCUUUCUUUUACAGGUGUGUUGUGAAUUAUCUGGAAAUGAUUCAGUUUUCAGAAGGAGCAACUGGCUAGGGUUCAAACUCUAGAGCAGCUGCAGCAAGGACAGCUCUCUACCCAAUACCAGCUCUCAUGAGCCCAGAUAUUGAUCUCUAAUCCUCUCCUCCCCUGGAAGAGAUCAGGACUUCCUGAUGGGUAUUUAUCUCAUAAUUCAUAAUUACAUAAUUCAUGUAAAAAUUUAAGAUGUUUCCAGAAAAUCUGGAGCUUCCACCCUUUAAGACUAUUACUGGAAGAGCUGAAAGUAGACAGCCAAAUUUGGACAAUUUGAGGAAACAUCAAAAUAAUAAUAGUUAAUGGCAUAUUAACUUAUAUUAAUUAAAUUGAUGAGGCAUGAUCUCAUAAUGACAAAAGAGAACUAUUGAUUUAAAAACGUAAAGAGAUACCUGACAUGGUGGCUCACACCUGUAAUCUCAGGACUUUGAGGUCAGGAAUUCGAGACCAGCCUGGCCAACAUGGUGAAACCCUGUCUGUACUAAAAUACAAAAAAAAAAAAAAAAUUAGCUGGUCAUGGUAGCGGGUGCCUGUAAUCCCAGCUACUCAGGAGUCUGAGGCAGGAGAAUCACUUGAACCUGGGAGGCAGAGGUUGCAGUGGGCUAUCGUACCACUGCACUCCAGCUUGGGUGACAGAGUAAGACUCUAUCUUAAAAAAAAAAAGAAAAGAAAAGAAAAGAAAAAGGAAAUAGAUAAUUAUAAUAAAAAAGAUGAGUAUGAUAGACAUUUUUAAUUCAUUAUUGAUUUUAGUAAGUUAUAGAGUUAUUUGUGCAUGUGCGUUUUUGGUUGCAUCUAGUUAGUAUAUGUCUGUGUGUAAGGAAUUUAUUUGUACUAGUUUCUAUGUGAGCAAGAAUAAGCAAUGACUGAGAACUGUCAAUUAACCAGGUAGCCCUGGGAAACAAACACCCAGCCAGAACAUUUAGAUCAGAGCAAAGAGUGGUACCAGUAAGGGUGCUUCACAAGAACCCAUCUCAGUGGUCUCGUCCAGUAACCAAAUGGGUUUCACCAGUAAAUUCCAAAGGUAGAAUUAACUACAACCCUCUAAGUCAGUGCCAUCCAAAGAAAGACACUCUAAGCCACCUGUGCAAUUUAAAACUUUCUAAUGACCCAAUUUUUAAAAAAUAAAGUAAAAUUAAUCAAGUAAAAUUAAUUUUUACAAGCUAUUUCAUUUGUCCCAAUAUAUUCAAUGUAAUAGCAUUUUCAAUUGUGGCACUAGACACAUUUUCAAAAGCUCAGUUGUCAUAUGUGGCUGUUCUGCAAAGAACUAUUUAAUCAGACUCACUCUUACUCUCCCAAGAGAUGAUAAAUCUUUAUAGCUGCGCUAAUUAAGAAAACACUGAUGUUUAGUAGUUACAUGAACCAGGGUGAUCUGUUUCGAUGGUAGGCUCUGUGUGGGGCAUGGUAAGGCAUGAGAACAUAGAGAUCACUUGUCUCCACAGAUUAAAAAGCAGAAGACACGCAGGACCAAGAGAGCCUGAUGGUGUAAGAAGUGAAACCAUGUCAUAAACAUGGCUACUCCACUGGCCCGAGAGGCCCAGCCUCGCCAUGGACUGCACACCUGCUAGGGGAAAUGCUCUGAGAUAGUCCUGCUUUUUUUUUCAGGGAGUGGGAAUAGUAGUCAUAAGAAUAUUGAAAACCUAGAAAGGCUUGAGAAAAAGCCCACAGGAAGGAGCAUUAGCAAUAACAGUAAAGAAGAGACAGAAGAAAAAUGUUUUAAAAAAUUAAAUGCACUCUUAUAAACAUACAGUGGUAAGAAUUCUUCUCUACCUAUUGUGUCCAGAAUUGGUUCCUUCCGGUGGAUUCGUGGUCUUGCUGACUUCAAGAAUGGAGCUGCGGACUUUUGCCGUGAGUGUUUCAGCUCUUAAAGAUGGGCCGGACACAAACAGUGAGCAGCAGCAAGAUUUAUUGCGAAGAAUGAAAGACCAAAACUUCCACAAUGUGGAAGGAGACCUGGGUUGCCUGUGCCGGCUGGGGGGUGGCCAGCUUUUAUUCCCUUAUUUGUCCCCGCCCAUGUCCUGCUGAUUGGUCCAUUUUACAGAGUGCCCAUUGGUCUAUUUUACAGAGCACUGAUUGGUCCAUUUUACAGAGUGCUGAUAGGUCCAUUUUACAGAGCACUGAUUGAUCCAUUUUACAAACCUUGAGCUAGCUACAGAGCGCUGAAUGGUGCAUUUUUACAGAGCGCUGAUUGGUGCAUUUUACAAACCUCUUGCUAGCUACAGAUCGCUGAUCGGUGCGUUUUACAAUCCUCUUGUGAGACAGGAAAGUUCUCCAAGUCCCCACUCGACCCAGGAAGUCCAGCUGGCUUCACCUCUCACUACUAACACACCUCUCACAUUAAAAAUGUAUCAGACUUGGGUAUGUGCUGACCUCCUCAAGGUCUACUCCCUCCCAAAAGAGGGGGAGGGUGUUAUUCUUCCCAUUAAGUAAUUAAAUUACUUGAAUAAUUUAGCACAUGAUCUACUAGUAACUAAUCUGUGGUAUUUGCAUUUAGACUAUAGACAGGCUUUUCCCAAAGACUUGAAAAGAAGGGACAUCAGAUGAGCCUCUUAAAGUCCCUAAAGAUCAGGCAAGGUGAAGAAAGAACCUCGAGAGCGCCUUGAAGACAGACAGACCGGCAGGCUGAGCUGCUAACUGGUCGCCCACACCAGAUUACCGUAAGAGUAUGUGUGUCAGUCAAGUGUCUGGCCAGGUUUGGAAGCCAGGAAAAAGUGAGAGACAGCAGCAAACAGCUCCAUCACUUGGUUAGACCCCACUCCCCGAGCAGCAGUGGCAAGGAAAGCCAGCCUGGAAUGCAGUGGCUGCAGCUGUCCCCUCGGCCUGAGGCCCUUGGACACUGGGCCUGUGCAACUAACUACUCCCACUCUGAGCCCAUGUUCCGCGGGCAGCCCCCGACAUCUGUGCAGAUGGAGGACUGGGGUCACCCUGCAGCUAUACCAGCCAGCCUGCUGAGAAGAUUCUGCAUCUCCUAAGAUGUCGCUUGCUAUUCUGACAUCAUAUCUUGGUCUCUUUUGUUUAAUUAUGACAAAGCAUUCUCUGCAAAAUGCCGCUGUUCUCAUCAUCCUGGUCCAAGCCAAGUUCUGAAUCUGAGAGCGGGACACCAGCCCGAAGCCAAAGGUGAGCUCUUCACAUGGGAAAACCAGCCUGGGUUCCUGGAUUCUUCUCAGAAGAGAACUAAGACUAUUAGAAAAUAGAAUUCUGCAAUACUUUGUUUUCACAGGUGUAGAAAAAUUAUAUUCGAUUUUUACCCUUGGCCUGUUUUAUUAUAAUGACCUCUCUUUUUCCUGCCUUUCAAUCCAGCUGAGACAAUGUAUGCAUGUUUACAUCAUGUGUGUAUAUACAUCUACUUGCACAUAGAUGUAUAUAGUUAUAUAUGUUUAAUGUAUAUAUGAAUAAAAUGUGCAUACAGCAGACUUAGGGACUUCUCUGGAGGGAGGAAUAAAGGUUGUAAAGUAGAAGAAUAUCUACCAAUCCAGUUGCAUAUGGAUUUCUUUGAAUCACUGACCAUUUCAGUCAAACUCUCCACAUUUUGCAGGGAAGUCUUUCACCUGCGCAGUCCCUAAUGCCUGUUUCAUACCUGGGAGAGUUUUUGUUAUACCAUUUGAAGACAGUUGGAUUACAGAUCCAACUCCAAUCUCCUGUCCUGUCACAGUGUCCCUGUGUGAUGCUCUUUUUUGACCCACACACUGUAUAGGUCCUAGACUUCCCAUAUGGUAUCAGUGGACAAUUAAGGAGACUUCACCACUAGCUACUUCUGUCUGCUCAAUAUGCUCUUUCUGAAUAACGGUGAAAAAAAUCUAUUCACAGUUCAGCCAAACAUGCUUUCUUUAUGUUACGCAGCAUAUGGGGCAAUUUGUCAAGGUAAUAGUAAGUCUCUUGGAAGGCUAGAAGGCUGCAAUUCAUUAUCUGAAAAACAAAACCUCAACCAUGCUUUAUGCCAGUGGAGAUGAAAUCCUCUCAAUAUCAGAAACCAACGAUUGCUAAGGAAACAGGGGAAGAAAGGGUCUCCCUCUAUUCCAAUAAGGAAGCCAUUGCCUGACCAGAUCCCCUUUUCCCUAUUUUCAUCUCAUAAUUGGAAAUGAAUAUGUCAGAGAAUAUAUGCCACCUCACCCAGAUGGAAUGUCUAGGCUAAAUUUCCAUGCAAAGACUUUUGUGCUUUUAUUUUCCAAAAUUCCUUUACAGAAUCUUGGUUCCACGAAAAUACAAGAUUUUAAAAGCCAAUAAUAGCUUUUUAAGGAAGAGAGAUAAAAAAGGUAGGAAUCUAAACCAGCAUAACUCAAAAGUCCUCGUUCCCCUUAUAAGUUUUCCAUUGCCUGAAUUUUCAAGCAGCAGAUGACUAUAAAUCCUGUAAGGAAUAAAUUGUUGCAUAUGUUGAUCUAUUUACUUAAAAGUUGGGCAAACAGUAGCUAGACAGGCAAUGUAGUUAAGUGCAUAGACUCUGGGAUUAGACUGCCUGGAGUCCAGUCUCAUUAGGCAGUCACUUGCUGUUUGACCUUGGGUAAAUCACACCUUCUGUGCUCCAGCUUCCGUAUAAAAAUUGUAAAAAGCAAUUAAAAUGGUAUCUGUCUCAACAAUUGUAGUGAGAAUCUAAUACAUUUAUACAUGUGUCCAUUUAUAAUAGGAUGGUUUUAGAGUAAAAAAGCUUUAGAAUCAUGGACAAGUAAAGAGAUGGACUAGUAGUUUGAGGCCCCAACCAAGUCUAGAAACGUAAAUUUUUAGUAGAGUUGUAGAAUUUUCUCUCGGGAUUAACUGCCAUGAAGCAACAGAUGAUAGCGCUGGUAUGAAAUCAGGAUUCGUAGAAUUGAGCACAGUACAGAAAUAAGGUGCUGAGGGAGUUAAGGAUUCUGGGAACAGUCAGGUCCAGUGUUAAACUAAUGGGAUCAGGGCAGGAAGGAAAUGUGGCUGCCCAGGGCCUUCUGAACAAAAGGACAGGGAGAAUAAGUGAGCUUAAGGUUGGAAAACUGAGGGUUUGUAUUCUAGGAGAGGCACUGGAGUUUAAUAGUUCAGGAAAUGGAAUGGUUUGAUGAGAUGCUCCAGAAUUCUUAGGGAGUAGUUGGCAACUCCAAAGUAAAGGUGAAGAUUUGUGCUUUAAAUCAAUAGACUGUAAUUCAGAAAAAGACAGAAUUCAAGGUCCCAAACAGUAUUUUUUAAGUAAACAGAUCUAAUUUGUUUGUUUGCUUCAUUUUUUGAGGUAGAAAAGUAUAGAAGAUUCAAGUAAUCUUCCUUUUGAUCUAAGAAUAGUGGUAAUAUAAUUAUGUGAUAAAUAAAAGAAGGAAAUCAAAAUACUCCAGUUUUAUAACAUAAAUAUAACUACAGCAUGCAUUUUCAAUAGAGGCAAUAUCACUCCUUAGGAGGUAAAAAUUCCGGAAGCAAAAAAAUUAUUAGAUAUGAUAUUUAUUUGUGGCUCUCCAAAGCUCAACCUUACCCAACAAAACCUUAUUUUCUCUGGCAGGGUGUGGUGGCUCACACCUGUAAUCCCAGCACUUUGGGAGGCCGAGGCAGGUGGAUCACUUGAGAUCAGGAGUUGGAGACCAGCCUGACCAACUUAGUGAAACCCCGUCUCUACUAAAAAUACAAAAAUUAGCUGGGCGUGGUUGUGGGCACCUGUAAUCCCAGCUACUCAGGAGACUAAGGCAGGAGAACCAACCUUAUUCUCUAGUAUUUAAUUUCUCCUAUUGAGUUUUCUUAGAUAUCACAAAAGCAGCAUGGACACUGAGUUCCUGGCAGAGACCCAAAACGUAUCCAAGGUCAUGUUACAAAAAUGUGGCAAAUGGCCAUGAGUAGGGGGCUUCUUCUCCAUCCCUUGCUCCAUUUCAAAGUCACAUGGGGAGAGCUGGCCUGUGCUGUUGGCUGCCCUGGUCACCUUGUAAGCAUUGCUUCUCACAUGAUCUCAGUGAUUUUAUGUGUGACUUAGGCUUUGGGAAUUAAAUGUAAUUGUUUGUAUUUUAUCAUUUAAUUAUAAAAAUGUUAUUCAACUCAUUGUU
rnacentral:lncRNA from 10 species